GAGAGAGAGAAAUAUAAUUCCUUUUUAAUUCUGACUCCAGUUUUCCUUCCCAGCCUAACCCUGAUGGAAUAGAAACCAGGAAUUGGAAAUGCUGGAUACCACUGUGGUUGGAGAUACAGUGGAGCAAAUACUAGAAAGAAUAAUUAAAAGUAUAUAUAUAUAUAUAUAUAUAUAUAUUCUACACCCAAAUAUAUAUACACACCCAAAGUGUAUGUGUGUGUUCUAUAUCCAAAAUGACAGAAUUAAUGUCCAAUUCCACUCAUCUCCAGGGCCACAAAAGACUGGAAGUAUAACAUUGGAGCUCUGAAUGAAAAGGCUCUGGAUUCAGGGACACCAGGCAUAGCUGAGGGAAGGUGCAGCACUAAAAAUGCUGAAAAUAAAAGCCCAGCACCUAUUUUCACUCAGCUCCUACAAAGCCAUCUGCCAGGCUUGUGCCCACAGACAAGAUACUGGAGGACACUAGAAUUCCAUAGAAGAUGGAUAAUCCAAGUGAAAAGACUUACAGUUACUAAACAGAGAUUCCAUGAGGAAAUAGUGAUCUACUCAAUUGGUCAGUAGUGAAGCCCACCACUCAACCAGUCCUGACUCCACAAGCUGGAUUUCAAUGAGCUUUUAAAUGAUUUUUUUUCAAUAUAAACGAACAGCAAAGAAUCACCAGCUUCUUGAAAAAUACUUAUAAUAAACAGACCAAUACAACUAUAAAAAAAAUAAAACAAAGAAAUGGAUUAAGUACAGGAAUCAUGAUAUCGUCUUUCAAAAGCAUAAAAAUUCUUAUAAAGGUAAAAGACAUUACAACUAUGAAACAAGAAUGAGUACUAUUGAAAAAGGGACAGUCAUAAAAUAAACAAAGAAGGACUGUUUUCAAUUUUUAAUUCAAUAUAAUAUUUGGGAGAUAUGCUGAGUCAAUCUCCUGGAACCAAAGCUCAAAGAGCUAAAUAUAGGAAAUUUUUUAAAAGAGAGGAUCUGUUUAGGAGGGCCAACAGCUAAGUAUUAGGGAUUUGGGGGGUGGGGUGGGAAGGACAGUAGAGAAAUACAGGGAAAGAAAUAACCAAAGACAUAGUACAAGAACUUCCCAGAAUUGAAGAACAUGAGCAUAGAGAUUGAAGGGCACCACUGAGUGCCCAGUGCAAUAAAUGAAAAAAGACUCACACUAACGCAUUGUGUUUUAAAAUUUUAGAACACCAAAGGUGAAUACAAGAUCCUAAAAGCCUCUAGAGGGGGGAAAAAGAAAAAAUUAUAAAUACUCAUACAUCAAAGUGGCACUGAAAUUCUUUUUAGUAACACUGGAUUUUAGAAAAAAAUGGAGAACUAUCUUCAAAAUUUGUAAGUGGAGUGAUUUUAAACUUAGAAUUCUAUACCAGCACAAACCAUCAGUCAACUGUGGAGGUAAAGCAAAAAGUUUUCCAAGCCAGCAACAUCCUCUCACCCGCCAUGAAUUCAGAAAGAUAACACGAGGUGUGUUCUACCAAACAAGGUAGUAAACUUUAAAAAAGAAAACAGUGGAUACAAAAAUAUAGGGACUUCAACCCAGGAAGGAUGCAAAGGUAAUUCUAAUGAUGAU